rnacentral:misc_RNA from 1 species
UUGUGGGUUGUUGGCUGCCAGCUCC